rnacentral:tRNA from 1 species
GGCUUCUUAUUGGCACAGUGGUAGAGCAUCUGUGUGGCAUGCGGAAGGCCCUGGGUUCAAUCCUCGGCAUCUCCA